rnacentral:ribozyme from 13 species
AGAAUAAGAGAGGAGGGAAAGAGAGGAAGCAUGUUGUUAUCUCUCCGAUUGCUGCUGUUUCUCCUGUUUCUCCUCUCUCUCCUGUCUCUUCUUCUCCUGAUUCUGAUAAGCAGCAGCAGCAUGAUUCUCCUUCUUUUAUGCCUGGGGUGAUCGAAGACCUGGAACAACAACCUGACGACACAUUUCAAAAGAGAAAGAAAAGU